rnacentral:rRNA from 1 species
CGUAGGUGCGAGCGUUGUCCGGAAUUACUGGGCGUAAAGAGUUCGUAGGCGGUUUGUCGCGUCGUUCGUGAAAACUUGGGGCUUAACUCCAAGCGUGCGGGCGAUACGGGCAGACUUGAGUACUACAGGGGAGACUGGAAUUCCUGGUGUAGCGGUGAAAUGCGCAGAUAUCAGGAGGAACACCGGUGGCGAAGGCGGGUCUCUGGGUAGUAACUGACGCUGAGGAACGAAAGCGUGGGUAGCGAACAGG